AUACGUAGGUGACAAGCGUUAUCCGGAUUUACUGGGCGUAAAGGGCGUGUAGGCGGUCUUGCAAGUCAGAAGUGAAAUUCCUGAGCUCAACUCGGGCGCUGCUUCUGAAACUGCAGGACUUGAGUGCUGGAGGGGAUAGCGGAAUUCCUAGUGGAGCGGUAAAAUGCGCAGAUAUUAGGAAGAACACCGGUGGCGAAGGCGGCUAUCUGGACAGAAACUGACGCUGAGGCGCGAAAGCGUGGGGAGCAAACAGGAUUAGAUACCCUGGUAGUCCACGCCGUAAACGAGGAAUACUAGGUGUAGGGGGUAUCGACUCCCUCUGUGCCGCAGUUAACACAAUAAGUAUUCCGCCUGGGGAGUACGGCCGCAAGGUUGAAACUCAAAUGAAUUGGCGGGG
rnacentral:rRNA from 1 species